rfam:Lupinus angustifolius cultivar Tanjil chromosome LG12, whole genome shotgun sequence.
AAAAAAGCAGGGGUCUGUUGCCUUUGUGAACAUGCCUCUCGUAACCUUCAGGGACAUCAUAUUAUUACCAAUGUUAUUGGGUGAACCUAUGUUUUGUUUGUAACUGAUGGUUCAGUAAACAAUGGUACAUUU